rnacentral:rRNA from 1 species
GACGAACCGUGCGAACGUUAUUCGGAAUCACUGGGCUUAAAGCGCGUGUAGGCGGGCCGCCACGUCGGCUGCUGAAAUCCCCCGGCUCAACCGGGGAACCGCGGGGCAUACUGGCGGGCUUGGGUCGCUCAGGGGCAAGCGGAACAGGCGGUGGAGCGGUGAAAUGCGUAGAUAUCGUUUGGAACGCCAAUGGUGAAAACAGGUAACUGGGGAUGUGCCGACGCUGAGACACGAAAGCCAGGGGAGCGAACGGG